UACCUUUUAAUAGUGAUUUUGGUGAUUUGAGCAUAAAAAGGUAUAUGUUUUAGUUAGAUUUAAUUAAUGAGUUUUAAUAUUUAUUUUUGGGAUUUAUGAUUUUCAUAGGUUGAUUUAAAUAAUAUUUACAGCUUAUUGAGUAUUUUUGUUGAGUUUGGGUAUUUUUGGGAGGUCUAGCUAUGUCGAAAUACUGCCCAAAUUUUCUUAAAAAUAUAUAUAAAAAUAUUUUAAAAUUUCAUAUUUUACGUUUUAUAUUAUUGUUUUAGAGCAUUUUUAUUAUUUGAUAUAUUAUUUUAUUUUUCUUUUAAUUCUAGGAGAGGAUCCAGCUUUCAGGAUAGAUAAUAGGGGUCCUCCUGCGACCUAGGUCUUUUGUCCCAAGUAUUCUGUUCCUUUUUGAUGAUCCGUUCAGCAGUCCUCAUCUCCUAGUUUAUCUUUCCUUCCACUUCAUCCACUCAGAGUCUAGAGGAGGUCGGACCAAUCCUAAGCCUGUUGUAAUUUCUUUUUGUAAUUUUGAUAGAUCAUGUAUAGAUUGUACAUUCCAGUGAAAAAUGUUUUCGUUUAUUGUAAAUAUUUUAUCUAUUGACAGGUCCAACUAGCAGGUUACAUGUUUUUAUAUAUAUAAAUAUCAGGGGAAGUUCUGUCAGUUUUCUUGGUCA